ACAGGUAGAGAAUAUAUUUCACUCCUGAGUACCACACGUCGACUUCUGCAUUCAAACAGAAACAUAUCACCAAAGAUUUAAAAGGAAAAGAUGAAAGAGGAAACUGGAUCAGAAACACUGUGAGAAGAAUACAGAGGCGACAAUGCUACGCACUAUCAAAGGAAGCCAUCUGUCAUGUCAUGAGGGUACUCAAGCAGUCCUAUGGAGAGAAGAGACUCACACAGCAAGGAACUGAGGCCCCCUGCUAACAGCCAUGAACUGCCAGAUUGUCUUCCAAAGAGGCUGCACCAGCUUACAUUCCCACCAGCAGUGUAUGAUGGUUCCAACUUUUCCACAUCCUUGCCAAAACUUGUUAUUAUCUGCCUUUUGAAAUUUGCCACCCUAGUGAGCGUGAAGAGGUAGCAAAAGUGGAUUUAAAAGUUG
rnacentral:lncRNA from 10 species